rnacentral:rRNA from 1 species
UGGCUCAGGAUGAACGCUGGCGGCGUGCUUAACACAUGCAAGUCGAACGAGGAAUACUGAUGAAGUUUCGGAUGAAUUCGGUAUUCCGAGUGGCGGACGGGUGAGUAACGCGUGGGUAACCUGCCCUGUACAGGGGGAUAACAGUUGGAAACGACUGUUAAUACCGCAUAAGACCACAGCACCGCAUGGUGCAGGGGUAAAAACUCCGGUGGUACAGGAUGGACCCGCGUCCAAUUAGCUAGUUGGUGAGGUAACGGCCCACCAAGGCGACGAUUGGUAGCCGAUCUGAGAGGAUGACCGGCCACAUUGGGACUGAGACACGGCCCAAACUCCUACGGGAGGCAGCAGUGGGGAAUAUUGCACAAUGGGGGAAACCCUGAUGCAAGCGACGCCGCGUGAGUGAUGAAGUAUUUCGGUAUGUAAAGCUCUAUCAGCAGGGAAGAAAAUGACGGUACCUGAGUAAGAAGCCCCGGCUAACUACGUGCCAGCAGCGGC